AUUGAACGCUGGCGGCAUGCCUUACACAUGCAAGUCGAACGGCAGCACGGGUGCUUGCACCUGGUGGCGAGUGGCGAACGGGUGAGUAAUACAUCGGAACGUACCUUAUCGUGGGGGAUAACGCAGCGAAAGCUGUGCUAAUACCGCAUACGCCCUGAGGGGGAAAGCGGGGGAUCGCAAGACCUCGCGCGAUUAGAGCGGCCGAUGCCUGAUUAGCUUGUUGGUGGGGUAAAAGCCCACCAAGGCGACGAUCAGUAGCUGGUCUGAGAGGACGAUCAGCACAACUGGGACUGAAACACGGCCCAGACUCCUACGGGAGGCAGCAGUGGGGAAUUUUGGACAAUGGGGGCAACCCUGAUCCAGCAAUGCCGCGUGAGUGAAGAAGGCCUUCGGGUUGUAAAGCUCUUUUGUCAGGGAAGAAACACCGGCUCUAACACAGUCCGGGAAUGACGGUACCUGAAGAAUAAGCACCGGCUAACUACGUGCCAGCAGCCGCAGUAA
rnacentral:rRNA from 1 species